AUCCGAUGGUAAUUUAGUUCUUUUAAAUGAGUCUAAAACGCCCAUCUGGUCCACAAGUUUGAACUCUAGUAAUACAACAGCUUCAAUCGAAGCAGUUGUUCUAGAUGAAGGUAAUUUUGUUUUGAGAGAUUCUUCAGCUAAUUCAACCUUAUGGCAAAGCUUUGAUCAUCCGACUCAUACAUGGCUUCCCGGAAUGAAGUUUGGAAUAAACAAACGGGCAAAAGUAAACCAAUUUCUCAUCUCAUGGAAGAAUAAAGAGGAUCCUGCACCGGGUCUCUUUUCGCUUGAGCUAGCCCCAGAUGGAUCGGAUCAAUAUGUUAUAAUGUGGAAUAGGUCUGAACAAUACUGGAAUAGUGGAGUCUGGACUGGAAUAAAUUUUGCCAAUGUUCCGGAAAUGAUAUCUCAUCAUAAUUUCGACUUCAACUACAUUUCGGAUGAAAAUGGGAGAUAUUUCGUUUAUUCUGUUACUAAUUCUAUGACAACUCGUUUUGUUAUUGAUUCUUCAGGGCAGAUUGAGCAGAUGUUUUGGUUGGAGUCUAGCAAGGCUUGGUUUCAGUUCUGGUCGCAACCAAGGCAACCUUGUGAUGUUUAUGCUUAUUGUGGCGCAUUUGGCAGCUGUAAUGAGGGAAACCAGUCUUUCUGUGCUUGUCUGCCAGGUUUUAGGCCAAAAUGGGAGAACAAUUGGAACUUGAUGCAGGAUUAUUCUUCUGGCUGUGUGAGGAAAACCCAACUGCAGUGUGAAAAUACUGUUGUUACAAAUGGAAAGAGUGACAAGUUUUUAGCAAAUUCUCACAUGGUAUUGCCUAAACAUCCACAAUCUGUGGCAGUUUUUGUGGAAGCAUGAAAUGAUCUAGCUGAUAUAUAACUCAUCCCUGGUAUCUUCACCCCACCAUAUGGUUGAGAGCAUACCCAAGUUGGCUGUCCAUGAGAAGAAAAAUCAGAAUAAGAAUGCAGGCAGGAUGCACCAUGGGUAAAACCAUGCUGGCUACUGCAAGUUUUCUGCGCCAUAUAAGGAUUCUUGUAACAUUUCAAUUCAAAUGGCACCUCUAAAACUUCUUUCUUACAUAAACAAGACUUGUUAUGAGGCCUCAAGAAAUUAUGCCCCUGACAUUCCAGUCCUUUCUUGCUUCUGCAAUAAUUUUGAGGGUUAAAGGAUCCCUUUGUUUUCAAUUUCUGUUCUUCAUAUUCAUCCAAUUCACAAGUGGCUACUUGACUUCAUUGGGACACAUGUCGAUCAAGUCUCCUAUUUAAUCUCUGAUGAGCAACCCAUCGAGAGGACUCAACCAACACCUUCUCUGCUGUACCGUACAUCCGCCUUGGCCGUGCUUGUCUGCCAGGUUUUAGGCCAAAAUGGGAGAACAAUUGGAACUUGAUGCAGGAUUAUUCUUCUGGCUGUGUGAGGAAAACCCAACUGCAGUGUGAAAAUACUGUUGUUACAAAUGGAAAGAGUGACAAGUUUUUAGCAAAUUCUCACAUGGUAUUGCCUAAACAUCCACAAUCUGUGGCAGGAGGGAGUAUCAAGGAAUGUGAAAAAACCUGCUCGAGGAACUGCUCUUGCACUGCUUAUGCUUAUGAAGACAAUGCUUGUUCAAUAUGGAUUGGAAGUCUCUUGAGUCUGCAUCAACUUUCACCAGGCGACGCAAAUGGGAAAACUAUUCAUGUCAAGCUUGCAGCUUCGGAGUUUUCAAGUUCCAGUAAUAACAAGGGAACAGUCAUUGGUGCUGUCGUGGGUUCAGUGUCAUUUGUAGCUCUAUUAGGCCUUCUUGCUUUUAUGUAUUUCAGGAAGAGAGAGAAUACAAUGAAAACAAGCAAAUCAGUGGAGGAUGGUUCGUUGGUGGCAUUUGCAUACAAGGAUUUGCUAACAGCCACAAAGAAUUUCUCUGAAAAAUUGGGGGGAGGAGGUUUUGGUUCUGUUUUCAAAGGGAGGCUGCCUAAUUCAAGUGUCAUAGCUGUGAAGAAGCUGCAGAGCUUCAGCCAAGGAGAGAAACAAUUCAGAGCAGAAGUCAGCACAAUAGGGAACAUCCAACAUGUCAAUCUAGUUAGGCUUCGUGGAUUCUGCUCUGAAGGUACAAAAAAAUUAUUGGUCUAUGAUUACAUGCCAAAUGGAUCCCUAGAUUCGCACAUCUUCCAUAGAGAGAAUUCAAAGGUUCUUGAUUGGGAAACAAGAUACCAAAUUGCACUAGGGACAGCCAGAGGAUUGGCUUAUCUCCACGAGAAGUGCAGAGACUGCAUCAUACACUGCGACAUAAAGCCAGAGAACAUUCUAUUAGAUGUUCAAUGGUGUCCAAAAGUGGCAGAUUUUGGCAUGUCAAAGCUUGUUGGGAGAGAAUUCAGCAGAGUCCUAACGACCAUUAGAGGAACAAGAGGGUAUCUCGCACCAGAAUGGCUUUCAGGAGUGGCCAUAACAGCAAAAGCUGAUGUUUACAGCUAUGGAAUGAUGCUCUUUGAAAUUGUUUCAGGAAGGAGAAACUUUGAAUGGAACUCUGUAUACUCUGAAGAUGAAGAAAUGAAAUACUUCCCAACUUGGGCAGCAAGCCUAAUGAGUGAAGGUGGCAAUGUGCUUAGCCUUUUAGACAAAAGACUUGAGGGUAGUGCUGAUGUAGAAGAGCUUUCAAGGAUUUGCAAAGUUGCUUGUUGGUGUAUCCAAGAUGAUGAAACUCAUAGGCCAUCAAUUGGUCAAGUGGUUCAAAUACUUGAGGGGGUUUUGGAAGUGACUCAGUCUCCAAUUCCAAGAUCCCUUAAAGUAAUCGCAGAUAACAAGGAGGAUAUAAUCUUCUUCACCGAGUCAUCUGAGACUUCAGGUGCUUCAUCUCAAGCUAAGUUCGCUGGAUCAUCAGCAAGUUCCUAAAUCCUUACCAAGAUAAUCAAUUUUAUUUGAGUAGUAUUUGUUAUUUCUGUUUUUUGGAUUUGGGUGGUGUUUUGUUAUUUCUGUUUGACUAUAGUCUUGAAUUUAUUGCCCUUAUUUGAGUACUAUUAUCCUAGAUAGUCUACUAUACAUAUAUGGUAUUAAUCUAUAUUAUUUUCAUAUGGUUUGAACUUCGUAUGUCGUAGCAUAAUGUUUAUCAAAAUCUCGUGUCUGCAAGUUGUUUAUUUUCUAGCUGUUAAUAAUGUCCACUCGAAUGAUAACAAUUUAUCUACCUGUUAAUAUAUGAUUUUAAUAUAUGUUUAUAUGCAGAACACAACAUAACAGAACCAACCAUUUGAAAUUUCAUUUCAGUUGGACGAGUAAUCUAAAGUCGAAUUUCACUGUCAUCAAUGGUGAAACAAAGAGUCCAGUUCAUACUUCAGAGUCGUUGCAAAUUAAUUAAAAUGACUAGAAGAUUGGAAUGAUUAGCGAAAUAGACAAACUGAAUUGAUAAGAUAAACAAAUAGAUAGAAUAAAACUAAAACUAUGUACUGAAAACAUCCGAAUUUGUUGCAGUGUAUUGCAGCACCAAUUUCAUUUGGGCCAAGAAUGUACAAAGAAGCAAAAUCUUGACGAGUUAUGUUCGAUAAAGUUCAAUGCAGUUAAAUGAAAAAACUGAAACUAACCCCUCUGUAUAUUCCAGUUUCUAUUCUGUUUCCAAUGCACCGCAAAAACUUAUACGCAGUAAUGAGACUGCAGUAGCACAUUACAAAAUGAUACAUCUGCAUGUCCCCUAUAAUAUCUGUUCAUGCUAAGUAACCCAAAUCUGCAAUGGUAAUUGGUUGAAGAAAAGAGGGUACUAAUCGUAUUAUAAUACUGAAUAUGGUCAGCUUAGUAUUAUUUAUGGGAACUGAAAAACUCAUAGUCUUUGUGUCGAUUGACUACCUUGAUGCCAUCCGUCCAAACACAACCUCUAGCAAAAAGAGACGCAUUUUCCUCUAGUAUUCUGAGCUGUUCCCGAAGAAUUUCAGAACGGUCAAAAAGUGAAGAGUCUUUGAAAGAGGAUUCUUCAGGUACUUUGAGAUCAAACCAGCUUUCUGCCUGCAGGUAUAAAGCUUGUGAAGUGCUGUACCACAGCUCUGAUCAAUAUCCAGAGAAGAAUUAUAGCUUAUCUCAAAAUGAGUGAAAUUAUUAAAAUAUAUAUAUGUAUAGCUCAUUUCUAUAAUCCAUUGGGUUCAUAGUCUUAGAUAUCCUGAUAAGAAUUCCAACCCACUGCUUCUACAUAUACCCAGACAUUGAACACAAUUUGGUUUAUUUAUUUCUUAACAACAUCAUGGUCGUGAUUCAAAGUUCAAAACAUGAAUUUCAAGGAUUAUGAUAUCUAUGUGGCACGUGUGUCAAGUUUAGUAAAACUUAAAUCUCCAUGGGAAUUCGAUGAAAAUCGACAAGCUCCUUCUUAGUCAUAGGUCCGGGCGGCAAAGCUUAUUCAGUUUUGACUUUGGAUACCUGACUGCCUGAACAAUUGAUUAAGGACGAACCUAUACUAUGCACGUCGGAUAGUAGCAGCAGAACCACUCAAAAUAGGCAGAAGAUUGCAAUCUAAACCAAUAUAUGACAAGGGUAGAACAUAUAGAGCUUAAACUUUACCUGUGCCUUGUAGCUUAGCAAUCCCACUACAGGGGAGACAACACAGAGUGUUUUCUUUUUGAGGGUAUCAGUUGGCACAUCUCUCAUAACCAUAUGUCCUAGCGAAUGAUAAGUCAAGAAAGCUGCACCAAAUUUCCCUUCGGGAAUUCGAAAUAUAGGAUACCAAGCCACUGAAAACCUAAAACCAAUUUAUUCAGGUUGUAAUAAGAAUGUCACAGAUUGGUUCCCCCCACCCCAAAAAAUAAGUAAAUAAAUGAAAGCACCAUGUGGUGACUGAUUCUCACCAGGAUGCAAGAUGUAGAUCAUUCAGCUUCAAAGAUUUCAACUUUGAUAUGUCACCAAAUACUUGAAGAUAAGAAGCUUCAGCAUCAAAAAGAUCCAGAAUUCUGCAAUUAGUAAUUAGUUAAGAUCAAUCCAGAUACAUCUUAACACCCCAUUUCAAAUAAAAAUGAUGAGGGUUUCAAUGAAUUGUAAACAGAAUGAGAAGAAAGAGUUCAACGAAAAAAAGCCUACAUGAUUAGCGGUGAUUGGAAAUGGAUAACUAUGAGUGAGUACGAAUUAAGAUAACAAGAUAAAAAGAAGACACAACUACAGCAGUGAGGACAAAACAUGUCAAACCUUCAACUAGGGCAAUGGUUGGGCACACCACACAAGAAAAGCUGAAACGGAACUACAAAUCAACCUUGUAGAAUCAUCAUUUUCAUGUACGACUUUUAUGAAUUCUGUAAAUAUGGCAAUGUAAGUUUUGAGGUAAGAAAGCAGAACUCUCAAUGCACAUGGUACAAUAACCUACAGCAAUAUCUUAAAUACUCCAAGAUGCAAUUUCUUCAAGUUAAUGAAUAAACUACAGAUUAAAUACCAUGUGAGAGAAAUAUGUCAGACUCAAGUUUAGAAAAAUAGUUCUAAUAGCAUCCACUAUAAAUAAUUGAUUGUAUAUCAACCUAGCAAUUUGAUUUAGCUACGGCCUGAUGAUUAUAAUUUUCAAUACAGCAAGCGAAAGAUAAAGGCUAGUGGCGAAAUUUACUUAUUAUGAAGAGGCCUUCGCAGCCAAGGUUUCUCAGUUUCAAAAAAUUCAAAUAAAAGUUCACAAUUACUGGAGCGAUCAGGUGAUGGAGUGAAACUCUGGGAGUGGCCUUCAGGACAGAAAGCUUUAUAUGAAUUGACACUCUCUUCAAUCGAGCCAAAUUUCAGCUCUGGGGCCAAAAGAUUUUUUCCCUCUAAUGCUGUUGAGCUAUUUCUGAUAUACAUGUCAGAGUUGGAGCGCUCUUCACUUGUACCACAAGAAUUAGAUAGAUAUGUGUAGCCAAACAAUUGAACAGCUGAAAGACAAGGAACAAAAUGAGCAUCAAACGAUGCUGAUUCAGUAAGCCGCCCUUUUAGUUUCUGAGAAUGACUUUUAGUCCAUAAUUCCCUGGCUCCUCGUACCAGUUCCAAACAGAAAAAAGUGAUGUAUUAGGUAUCUGGUGCUUACACAAGGAGCUAUCAGACAACUGAUCACCCAAACACAAAGAACAUUUUCCGUGUUGAUAUAAUGAGGCAAUAGCAGGAGCAGCGGAGUGGAGGAAUCUUUCGAACUCCGCAAGUGGACAUCCUGUUUCUAGCUCAAAACCCUCAGAUACUAGUUGCAUUUUGUAAGCAGCAUUUAGGGGAUCUGUUACCAUUAAGCCAACGAUAAGCUGUUGAACAUCUUUCAAAUUUUGCACAUAUUUCAUUCUAAUUUCAGCACUCUUGAUGUGAUGGACUUCUGUUGUGGUACACUGACUGUCAGAAUUUGGAGCUUCAGUUUCAACUAGAUUCAAACUGCUGCUACCAAUUAAGUGUGUACUUUUAAAUUUGCUUAACAUGGCAGAUGCACGAUGAUCAAUUACAUUUCCCCCCGAACGGCCAUCCUUCUCUACUUCAUGUAAAAGUCGCAAGUCGCCAUUACAAACAUGACAGAUACCGGCAGAACCAGUUUUUUCUGAAAUACUUGACCCCUUAGUGCCGACAGCAACCCACUUCUUUGCAUUCAUUCUAGAAGUAACAUCUUUUAUGAAUUGGUUUUCAUUAAAUUGUUCAAAUUUUACGCAUGAUUCACUUUUUGUGGAAGCAUGAAAUGAUCUAGCUGAUACGUAACUCAUCCCUGGUAUCUUCACCCCACCGUAUGGUUGAGAGCAUACCCAAGUUGGCUGUCCAUGAGAAGAAAAAUCAGAAUAAGAAUGCAGGCAGGAUGCACCAUGGGUAAAACCAUGCUGGCUACUGCAAGUUUUCUGCGCCAUAUAAGGAUUCUUGUAACAUUUCAAUUCAAAUGGCACCUCUAAAACUUCUUUCUUACAUAAACAAGACUUGUUAUGAGGCCUCAAGAAAUUAUGCCCCUGACAUUCCAGUCCUUUCUUGCUUCUGCAAUAAUUUUGAGGGUUAAAGGAUCCCUUUGUUUUCAAUUUCUGUUCUUCAUAUUCAUCCAAUUCACAAGUGGCUACUUGACUUCAUUGGGACACAUGUCGAUCAAGUCUCCUAUUUAAUCUCUGAUGAGCAACCCAUCGAGAGGACUCAACCAACACCUUCUGGUGGAUUCUCACAUCUGUUUUUGUCUUGUUAUUUCCUGCAUUUGCUACACCAAUGUGCCUAGAAGAUUCAAUUGUUGGAGUGGGCAGCAAUCCUUUACCAAAAAAUGAGUUGUGCUCGACAAAAAGGUUCUUCUGAAGCAUACUUGCAUCUCCCUGUAGAUAAUUGCGUUGCAAUUUGUUACCCUCACUGGUUUGUGUUUCCCUUACAUUCCUCUGCUUCUUCCGCCAGACUGAUUGGCUAUUUUCCUUCCCUGUCAUGAUAUGUUGGUGAUUUCUAGUCUUAUGGACAGCAUCAAGUUCAGAUGCCAAGUUGUGGCUCUUAAAUCCAUUUCUUUCUCUGAUAGCAUGAGAACUGUUACAGACAUCACACCCUUGCUUAUUCAAUCCAGAUACAUCUUAACACCCCAUUUCAAAUAAAAAUGAUGAGGGUUUCAAUGAAUUGUAAACAGAAUGAGAAGAAAGAGUUCAACGAAAAAAAGCCUACAUGAUUAGCGGUGAUUGGAAAUGGAUAACUAUGAGUGAGUACGAAUUAAGAUAACAAGAUAAAAAGAAGACACAACUACAGCAGUGAGGACAAAACAUGUCAAACCUUCAACUAGGGCAAUGGUUGGGCACACCACACAAGAAAAGCUGAAACGGAACUACAAAUCAACCUUGUAGAAUCAUCAUUUUCAUGUACGACUUUUAUGAAUUCUGUAAAUAUGGCAAUGUAAGUUUUGAGGUAAGAAAGCAGAACUCUCAAUGCACAUGGUACAAUAACCUACAGCAAUAUCUUAAAUACUCCAAGAUGCAAUUUCUUCAAGUUAAUGAAUAAACUACAGAUUAAAUACCAUGUGAGAGAAAUAUGUCAGACUCAAGUUUAGAAAAAUAGUUCUAAUAGCAUCCACUAUAAAUAAUUGAUUGUAUAUCAACCUAGCAAUUUGAUUUAGCUACGGCCUGAUGAUUAUAAUUUUCAAUACAGCAAGCGAAAGAUAAAGGCUAGUGGCGAAAUUUACUUAUUAUGAAGAGGCCUUCGCAGCCAAGGUUUCUCAGUUUCAAAAAAUUCAAAUAAAAGUUCACAAUUACUGGAGCGAUCAGGUGAUGGAGUGAAACUCUGGGAGUGGCCUUCAGGACAGAAAGCUUUAUAUGAAUUGACACUCUCUUCAAUCGAGCCAAAUUUCAGCUCUGGGGCCAAAAGAUUUUUUCCCUCUAAUGCUGUUGAGCUAUUUCUGAUAUACAUGUCAGAGUUGGAGCGCUCUUCACUUGUACCACAAGAAUUAGAUAGAUAUGUGUAGCCAAACAAUUGAACAGCUGAAAGACAAGGAACAAAAUGAGCAUCAAACGAUGCUGAUUCAGUAAGCCGCCCUUUUAGUUUCUGAGAAUGACUUUUAGUCCAUAAUUCCCUGGCUCCUCGUACCAGUUCCAAACAGAAAAAAGUGAUGUAUUAGGUAUCUGGUGCUUACACAAGGAGCUAUCAGACAACUGAUCACCCAAACACAAAGAACAUUUUCCGUGUUGAUAUAAUGAGGCAAUAGCAGGAGCAGCGGAGUGGAGGAAUCUUUCGAACUCCGCAAGUGGACAUCCUGUUUCUAGCUCAAAACCCUCAGAUACUAGUUGCAUUUUGUAAGCAGCAUUUAGGGGAUCUGUUACCAUUAAGCCAACGAUAAGCUGUUGAACAUCUUUCAAAUUUUGCACAUAUUUCAUUCUAAUUUCAGCACUCUUGAUGUGAUGGACUUCUGUUGUGGUACACUGACUGUCAGAAUUUGGAGCUUCAGUUUCAACUAGAUUCAAACUGCUGCUACCAAUUAAGUGUGUACUUUUAAAUUUGCUUAACAUGGCAGAUGCACGAUGAUCAAUUACAUUUCCCCCCAAAUGGCCAUCCUUCUCUACUUCAUGUAAAAGUGGCAAGUCGCCAUUACGAACAUGACAGAUACCAGCAGAACCAGUUUUUUCUGAAAUACUUGACCCCUUAGUGCCAACAGCAACCCGCUUCUUUGCAUUCAUUCUAGAAGUAACAUCUUUUAUGAAUUGGUUUUCAUUAAAUUGUUCAAAUUUUACGCAUGAUUCACUUUUUGUGGAAGCAUGAAAUGAUCUAGCUGAUACGUAACUCAUCCCUGGUAUCUUCACCCCACCGUAUGGUUGAGAGCAUACCCAAGUUGGCUGUCCAUGAGAAGAAAAAUCAGAAUAAGAAUGCAGGCAGGAUGCACCAUGGGUAAAACCAUGCUGGCUACUGCAAGUUUUCUGCGCCAUAUAAGGAUUCUUGUAACAUUUCAAUUCAAAUGGCACCUCUAAAACUUCUUUCUUACAUAAACAAGACUUGUUAUGAGGCCUCAAGAAAUUAUGCCCCUGACAUUCCAGUCCUUUCUUGCUUCUGCAAUAAUUUUGAGGGUUAAAGGAUCCCUUUGUUUUCAAUUUCUGUUCUUCAUAUUCAUCCAAUUCACAAGUGGCUACUUGACUUCAUUGGGACACAUGUCGAUCAAGUCUCCUAUUUAAUCUCUGAUGAGCAACCCAUCGAGAGGACUCAACCAACACCUUCUGGUGGAUUCUCACAUCUGUUUUUGUCUUGUUAUUUCCUGCAUUUGCUACACCAAUGUGCCUAGAAGAUUCAAUUGUUGGAGUGGGCAGCAAUCCUUUACCAAAAAAUGAGUUGUGCUCGACAAAAAGGUUCUUCUGAAGCAUACUUGCAUCUCCCUGUAGAUAAUUGCGUUGCAAUUUGUUACCCUCACUGGUUUGUGUUUCCCUUACAUUCCUCUGCUUCUUCCGCCAGACUGAUUGGCUAUUUUCCUUCCCUGUCAUGAUAUGUUGGUGAUUUCUAGUCUUAUGGACAGCAUCAAGUUCAGAUGCCAAGUUGUGGCUCUUAAAUCCAUUUCUUUCUCUGAUAGCAUGAGAACUGUUACAGACAUCACACCCUUGCUUAUUCUCAUCUGGAACUUUACAGCAAGUUCUACUAUUGCAGUUUUGAAUAUUCAGAUCUUCAGAACACAGUUUCACUUGUAUUUCACAUAGAGAAGUUGAAUUGACCAGUGGGGUAUCUUUUUCCAAGCCCUUUUCACAGUUUAUAGCAGGAUUGAGUAUAUCCUCCAUAAUUGAUGAAGAAGAUGACUUUGCAUCAAUAACAUCAUAUUUACUUUCUCCUGCCAUAGAAACAAUCUUAUCGGAGAUCUUUUUACUUGAAUAAGUUCUCUUUUGUUGUUCUUCUUUUUCUUUCUAAAAUGUUUCUUGAACUUCGGAUCAUCAGUAAUUGAAUCCACUUUGCUGUUUACCUGCUUAUCACUAAAACCAAGAGUAUCUGAUUGGAAAGAUCCAGCACAUCUUGACUUCUCAUUACACACAACAUCUGGUACAGCUAGAUCUCCGUACGGCUUCAAAGCCUCAGAGAUCCAGAUGUCACCAAGAACUGCACAACCUAAAGAGCUUGACGAACUACAGAUACCAUUUCCCCGUUCUAUAUGUUGAACUAAUGCCCCUGAAACUUCCAUCUCUAGAACAUUUAUCAAUUUAAAGAUUUUCAGUCCUUAUCUAAAUCAACACCAGAAAACAAAGCCUGCAAUGGGAAAUGAACAAGUUAAAGAAAAGAGGCACGAUCAAGUUCAAAAUGAAAUCAAAUCCUACUAGAGACAGAUAACAUGUUAACAAUAAAGUCAACAGAAUUUGAAUGAAACAAGAAUCCACUCCAGCCUGUCAAAUAUUAAAGCAACAGAAAAGCAAAGAACCAAAAGAGCAUCUCAUUUAUCAUAUGAACCAAAGAUUGGAUAAAGUUAGUAAAAAUAAUUGGAAUAAAAUGAUAUGAACAAGCACUCAAACCAAAUAUACUCAUAUGACCCUAAAAUUUGCAUUUUAGUUAAUAAGAUACUAAAAUGAAUUUAACUAACUACCUAACAGUACAAGCACACAUCUCAUGAAACAAACCAAUUUAUCAGGGCAUUUGCGUACAUACAAAAGUCCAAAUAUCUCUUUAAAUCAAACCCACCUAAUUUUUACCAACAAAAGUUAUUUUUCUUGACCUAAUAUAACUCAAGGGUAAAACUAAAUAUGACCCCAAGAAAUAACCCAAACCAUGUAAUUUAUUCAAAUGCACGUUUUCAAGUACUUCUCAGACAGUUAUUUAAUUCAUCUGCUACCCAGAAAAAAAAAAUGAAAGUAGAAAAAAAGAACAAGAACAAGAAAAAGAAUGCCACUUUACCAAGUGCAGGUGAUGGGUUCUUGUGACUGCUCAAAGAACCCAGAAAAUAUAAUUAAAAGGAAAUAUCCAUGUUCCUUUAACCAAAUUAAGAAACAUACAAAGAAAACGACAAUUUUUGAAACAAGAAACGUGAAUAAUACUGAUCAAAUUAUGACACCCGUAUUGAAUUUAGAUCAAACAAAAAGAUUAAACAGAAAAAAAAAGGAAAAGAUAAAAGAAAAAGAAAGUACCUGAGAGACAAAAUGAGAAGCGCGCCAGAAGCCAAAAUAUGAAAAAUGGGUUUUUGGGGUUGACUUUUGAGUCUGUUUCAAUUUUUAUUUAACGGAUUUCUUGAAAUUGCUAGGAAAUAUUCUCUUUUUUAGAGUGUGGAGUAGGCAUAUCACAGUUGAUGAGGUCGAAUCUCUCUCUAUGGGCGCCAUGUGUCUAAUACGUAUGAUGAUAACACAAGCAAAAUACCAUAAUGGAUGGAUUAUGGGCAGCCCGCGGAAUUGUCUGUUUUACCCCGCUAUUGUAACCAUCCAGGAGGAUCCGUUUUAAUAUGUUUUUUUGCUACACUUUAAAUAUUCCAAUAAAUUAAUUAAUUCAUGUUUAUAAACAGUGUUAUGGAAAAUAAGGGAGAUGGUGAAUAAAUAAUAUUAUAAGUUUUUUAAAAAGUUACAUAAAUAAAAUUAAUAGUUUUUUAAAUAAAAAAUUAUUUCUAAAGAAACAUGAAUUACUGCCAAGUAGCAUGUGAAUAAACAUUUAAUUAUUCAAAAAAGAAUGAUUAUGUACUCUUUGAUGUAUGUUACGACGUUAAUUGGUGAGAAUGAAAUAUUGUACAAUAAAUUAUCUUAGAAAUUUAUUAAAGUAUACUAUGUACCAAUGAAUGUUAUUUUUUCCAAUGAAAAUUUUGGGAUGAUAAAUUGAUAAUAUUAGGGAUAGGACUAUUUGAGCUCUAAAAAUUAUUUUAAAUACUCUAUUAUUCUAUAGAUUUGUGUACUAUGAACUCUCGACUUUCUUCCAAUAGUUAGUAGUGUGAAAGUGGUGUAAUGAGGGAGUGAUGUGGUGUCUUAAUUACUCUCCCGUUUAGCUCUUUGUUAAUGUUUUUUAGGUCUGCUGUUUUAAAUUUGUGAAGUUUUUUAUAUUGUCGCUAUUUUCCAUUAUUGUUAUUGGUGGUCUAUAUGAUGGAUACGAUGGAAUUAGCGAAACUUUGUGGCUCUUUAACUUUGCGUGACAAAGCAAGUACGAUUUUGUCUCAGAUGCUGUCCAAAAGCGAAGGGAGGCAAUGGCAGUGAAUUACUUGAUUAGUAAGAUAUUAACGAAGCAGGUGAUUUCCAAAGAUGCCUUCACUAAGAAUUUUCCAGUGAUUUGAAGAACAUUCAGGGAGUUAAGAUCAAAUGUUUAGAGAAGAAUGUAUUCUUGUUCUGUUUUAGCUGACGAGUUCUUUUGUUGGCCCAUGGCAUUUUGAUAGGACAUUGGUUGUUCUCACUCCAUUGCAAGGUAAUGGUGAUUUGACUGUGGAAUGUUCUGACAAAGUGAUAUUUUGGGUGUAAAUUUAUAACGUGCCCUUAUUGUAUAUAUUAAAAGAGAUAACUGAACUUCAACUGAGUAUACAUGGAACGAUGGAGAAAAUAAAUAUGAGAUCAUCUGGUGAUUGUAUGAGAAAGUAUCUGAAAGUCUAUGUUACUUUUGAUAUUGUGUUACCUUUGAUAUUUCUUAUUCGUUAAAACGGAAUUUACGUGUGAAAUUCCAUUCAUUGGAUCUUAAAUGUGUGUUUGGUACAAUAUGAGAAGUAGUUAAAUUUUUAUUUUCACUGUGAUAGGAUAAGACAUAUAUUUCAUAAGUGUGAGGUGCAUGAGUUAGCAUGGGCAGAGGAUGGCUCCCACACCACUCUUCUGUUUGGGAAUUGGAUGAGAAUGACUGUUGGUGCUUUCGUCAAACGGCUAAAAAAUCCACUAAUGGUCAAGGCUAAUACAAAGAGUGGCAGUGAGGAGUUGAAUGCAUCGUUGAUGACACCAAAUAAGCCGGAUACAGUUAUUAAUGGUGUGAAAAUUUUGGAUGAAUUUCAAAAUGUGAGUGAUUUAAAUUUUGAAAGCGCUAAUGUUGCAGACAAGGGAGCUUUUCCUUAGCUUAUGAUCUUUGGUUUCUAUAUGGCUUCUUGGCUGCUUAACUUCUUUACGGCUUCUAGGCCGCUUGACCUCUUUACGGCUCCUAAGUGUUCGACUUCUUUAUGGUUUCUUGGUUGCUUUACUUCUUUAUGCUCUGCUUCCUUGAUGCCUCUAUGUUUCUUUUUCCCUUUCUUUUCCUUCUCGUCUGCGCCUCCAUUUCGUUCCUACAUAUUUUGACAGCACAGAAUUUUUGGUUGUUGCAGCGGCCAUGGAAAUCAUCAAGAACAAUUCAUGGUUGAUGCUUUUUGUUCUUUUCACGUGCUUCUCACUCAAAUCCCAUGUCUCCUUCGGAGCUGACACCAUUUCUGCAAACCAAUCUCUCUCUGGUGAUCAAACGAUCGUUUCUAAAGGUGGGGUCUUUGCAUUUGGUUUCUUCAACCCAGCUCCUGGUAAGUCUUCAAACUAUUACAUAGGCAUGUGGUACAAUAAAGUCUCUGAAAGAACUAUAGUUUGGGUAGCCAACAGAGAACAGCCAGUUUCUGAUAGAUUCUCUUCGGUUUUAAGAAUCUCAGAUGGUAACUUAAUUCUUUUUAAUGAGUCCCAACAACCCAUUUGGUCCACAAUUUUGACCGCUACCAGCAGACGUUCUGUGGUAGCAGUUCUUUUAGAUGAAGGAAAUCUUGUUUUGAGAGAUUUGUCAAAUAAUUUGUCGGAGCCGUUAUGGCGAAGUUUUGAUCAUCCAGCUCAUACUCGGAUUCCCGGUAUGAAGCUGACGUUCAACAAGAGAAACAACGUCAGUCAACUUCUCACUUCAUGGAAGAAUAAAGAAAAUUCUGCACCGGGUCUCUUCUCCCUUGAGCUAGCACCAGAUGCAUCAAAUCAAAAUGCUAUUUUGUGGAAUAGGUCUGAGCAGUACUGGAGAAGUGGACCUUGGGAUGAUAAUGCAAAAAUUUUCAGCUUGGUCCCUGAAAUGACACUAAAUUAUAUCUACAAUUUCAGCUAUGUGUCGAAUGAAAACGAGAGCUAUUUCACCAACAAUGUGAAAGAUAGCACUUACACAUCUCGAUUCAUUAUGGAUGUUUCAGGACAGGUUAAGCAGAUGAAUUGGUUGCCUACCAACUCUUGGUUUCUGUUUUGGUCCCAACCAAGACAGCAAUGCAAGGGUUAUGCUUUUUGUGGUCAAUUUAGCACCUGCAAUGAGCAAACUGAGCGUUUUUGUUCUUGUUUGAAAGGUUUUCAACAAAAAUCGGUGAGUGACUGGAAUUUGGAAGAUUAUUCUGGUGCCCGCUGCAGUGUGAAAAUAAUAGUCUUGCCAAUGGAAAAAGCGACCAAUUUUUCCAGUACAGUAACAUGAAAUUGCCUAAACAUCCACAAUCUGUGGCAGUAGGGGGUAUCAGGGAAUGUGAAACACACUGCUUGAAUAACUGCUCUUGCACUGCUUAUGCUUACAAAGACAACGCUUGCUCGAUUUGGGUAGGAAGUUUCGUGGGUCUGCAACAGCUACAAGGAGGUGGAGAUACCAUUUAUAUCAAGCUUGCAGCUUCUGAGUUCUCGAGUCCCAAGAAUAAACAGGGAGUAUUCAUUGGCAGUGUUGUGGGCACAGUGGCUGUCGUAGCUCUUAUUGGCCUGAUCAUGCUUGUAUACUUGAGAAGGAGAAAGACAGCAACUGUAACAACCAAAACUGUGGAGGGUUCUUUGGUGGCAUUUGCAUGCAAGGAUUUGCAAACUGCCACAAAGAAUUUCUCUGAAAAGCUGGAGGGAGGAGGUUUUGGUUCAGUUUUCAAAGGGGUGUUGCCGAAUUCAAGUCUCAUAGCUGUGAAGAAGCUUGAAAGCUGGAGCCAAGGAGAGAAGCAAUUUCGGACUGAAGUCAGUACCAUAGGGAAUAUCCAACAUGUCAAUCUGGUUCGGCUUCUGGGUUUCUGCUCUGAACUAGUAGGUUGUUGGUCUACGAUUUCAUGCCAAACGGUUCUUUAGACUCUCAUCUCUUCACUGAAAAAGAUUCAGACUUUCAUGAUUGGAAGACAAGAUACCAAAAUUCAAUGGGGACAGCCAGAGGUUUGGCUUAUCUCCAUGAGAAGUGCAGAGACUGCAUCAUACACUGUGACAUAAAGCCAGAGAACAUUCUGUUAGAUGCUGAAUUUUGUCCCAAAGUGUCGGAUUUUGGGCUCGCAAAGCUUGUUGGGAGGGAGUUCAGCCGUGUCCUAACAACCAUGAGAGGAACAAGAGGUUACCUUGCACCUGAAUGGAUUUCAGGAGUGGCCAUAACAGCCAAAGCGGAUGUCUACAGCUACGGAAUGUUGCUGUUUGAAUUUGUAUCAGGAAGGAGGAGCUCGGAGGAAUCUGAAGAUGGUAAAGUGAAGUUCUUCCCAUCUUGGGCUGCUAAACGAAUAGUUGAAGGCAGCAAUCUCGUUAGCCUCUUAGACCCAAGACUGGAGGGCAACGCUGACGAAGAAGAGCUUGCAAGACUUUGCAAAGUGGCUUGUUAGUGCAUCCAAGAUGAUGAGACUCACAGGCCAUCAAUGUGUCAAGUAGUUCAAAUUCUUGAGGGAGUUUUGGACGUGGCACUGCCUCCAAUUCCCAGAGCUCUCCAAGUAAUGAUCGACAACCAUGAGCACGUAGUCUUCUUCACUAUCUCAGAGUUUUUUUAAUCAAAGAGCAACAAUUCAACUGCUUCAUCUCAAGCAAAGAGCACCACAUCAUCAAGAAGUUCUUAAAUCGGUGUGAAGAAAAUAUUUUCACAUUUGUGUUUUAAGAAUAUGUAUUUGGCUAAUUUCACUUGUAACAACCUGUAUGCAUACUUGGAUAGAAGCCUUGCUUCGUAGUGUAUAAUAAUAAUGCAACCUGCCAAAGCAAUUUUAAGAAUCACAAGCCUUUUGCCUCGCUGUUCUCUCUAAUGAACUCUGAUUGAUCUAUGCUCCCCUGCAUUGACUAUUGGUUUCACCUAAUCGCUUCAAUUGUCAAAAUUAGGUAUUGAAAUGAAAGUUAUCCAGAAGAAGGGGAAAAACAGCGAAAUCAAUCAAACAAACAAACAAACUUAAACGCGACGUUGUAAUAAAUAACAUGGGUCAAGAUAUGAAUCAACUGGCCAACAUUGUUGAAUUGUCCGUAUUUUUAUCGACUUCAAUUGGCUAACAAGUUUCCUUCUUUUCUUGAAGGAUGGCUUUGACGGCUUACGUAACAAAUAAUUUACGUUAGACUUUUAAAUAGUCCAUCUGAAAAAAAUUUUGUGACACGGUUGACAGUAUAAGCACAACGACAGUGAUUACUAACUGUUUCUGCUUAGGCCCGCCACACCCACCUCCAAUUUCUCCCUUAUGUCUUUGAUAAAUAGACCAUCUGUUGUUCAUAAACAACAUCUUGUCUGCACAGAAGUUUUCCAGCAGCCAUGGAUGUCAAGAAAAAUGUAUGGUUCAUGCUCUGUGUUCUCUCCAUAUGCUUCACUCUCAAACAUCAUUUAUCCUCUGCUGCUCGUGACUCCAUCUCUGCAAACCAAUUUCUCUCUGGGGAUCAAACUAUUGUCUCUGCUGGUGGGGUCUUUGAACUAGGCUUCUUCAAGCCAGGUAACUCUUCAAACUACUACAUAGGCAUUUGGUACAAAAAGUUGUCAGAACAAACCAUAGUUUGGGUGGCAAAUAGAGACAAACCAGUUUCCGAUAAAAACUCCUCAGUGUUAAGAAUAUCCGAUGGUAAUUUAGUUCUUUUAAAUGAGUCUAAAACGCCCAUCUGGUCCACAAGUUUGAACGCUAGUAAUACAACAGCUUCAAUCGAAGCAGUUGUUCUAGAUGAAGGUAAUCUUGUUUUGAGAGAUUCUUCAGCUAAUUCAACCUUAUGGCAAAGUUUUGAUCAUCCGACUCAUACAUGGCUUCCCGGAAUGAAGUUUGGAAUAAACAAACGGGCAAAAGUAAACCAAUUUCUCAUCUCAUGGAAGAAUAAGGAGGAUCCUGCACCGGGUCUCUUUUCGCUU
rnacentral:lncRNA from 1 species